rnacentral:misc_RNA from 1 species
UUUUUUUUUUUCAAUUUAUUUUUGGCUACUCUUCUUAUUCAUCUUUGUUUUGAAAUACUUUAUUUGUAACAAAAUCUAUAAUCCAAUUGAUACAAGAGCGCAAUUUGUCUGGCUCAAUUGGGUGGGUUCCUGGUGCCUGUACACAAUACUUUAUUUGUAAUAUAUUCUAUAAUCCAACUGAAUUUUUUUAUUUGAACAAAAUCUUGACCCUUGAUUGGGUUGGUUUCAGUAUGCCCGGUAGAAGUCAAUUUGUGCAUGGGUCUACUUUUUCUUCUAUAUUCCAUUUGAAUUAUAUGAAUAUCUGGCAAAUGGCAUGUAGUGGCAUUUAACCAUGUCUUCAUUCUUUUUAGAAGUCUAACGUGUGGGUGGGUGAAGGUUUCCACUUCCGACCUUCAUUUGUGUGGUUCUUCCUGUAACUAAAACUAGUGUGUGUUUGUUGAAGAACUUCUGUGCUCUCCUGGGGUGGUUAUGUAUGUGUGUAGAACUUUAACUGGAUAACUGAAGUGUGAUUGCCUUCUUGUUGGGCACCUGGGGGCUAAGAUGAAUAAUGAUCAAAAUAACCAUUGGAUAAAUUCUUUUAAAUUUUAGAAGUAGAGGAACUAACUUUAGCACUUCACUGGGCUUAUACACAAAACAUUCUCUAUGGGGCAGAACUCAAACCAUAAACCAGGUUAUCUGAGGUGAUAACUAUUCUUUGCUGGCUAAAUGCUGAUCUGGGAGUGACCAAAAGGAAAACUGUGACCAAUAUGUAGUUAGUCUACAUGGUUCUUUGGACCAAUCAGAGCAAUGGUUUAUUUCAAGUAAUUGAAAAUUUUUUUCUAUAUUUACUCUCCUGGAAUUCUAGAUAUUUUAGCUCAGUUUAUGGAUCAUUUCCAUGAAUAACUAGUGUGGCAUUUCUAUCAUGGAGCAUUUGGAUCUGUGGGUAAGAUGAAUCACGACCAUAUUACAGGGCGUUUCUGAACUUUGACUUUUGAGAGUAAUCACUUGUGGCUCUUACUGUAUAGCUGAAGACAAUUUUAAAGAUGCAAACCAUGAGCAAGGCUACGUGAGUUCAAAGCUUUUCUUCGUGGUUUGUGCUAGUUUGUAAGGGCAAGCAAUUGAGGUGCAACCAAUCACACCAGUGAGAUGCAUUUAAUCUAACUUAUACUAGCCUAUAAUCUAGAUCAACUGGGAAGGUUUCCCUUUUUUAUUUCAAUGUGUUUGAGCUAUUUUAAUUGAGCUGCCUUAAGACCAAUGUUGGAAAAAGGAAAAAUUACAGGUAAAAAGGAAGUAAAGUAAAAAAGAAAAAAAGGAAACCGGAAAAAAUUGUCAUAAACUAAAAUUAAAUGGCAAAUUGAUUCUAAAAUAGUUUUGGAUAACUUUCAGUCUCUUUUUAACUGAUAUUUUUCAGUUGAAUGAUGGAUAGGCCCAUGUUGUUUUCUUUGUUUAGUUGUUUGCAAGUAUUUUGACUGUGUCAUUGAGAAUGGAAAAUUUGAAAUAUUCUCCUAUUAAGACAUUUGAAAAGGUAUGCUAGCAGCUGAAGAACAGUAUGCCUGGCAGAUAAGGAUUCAACCAAGUGCCAGACAUGCAGCUGAGCAUUAAAUGAAUAGUCUGGUGAUUUAGUUGAUGAUCGACGUAUGAAUGUUCUGUAUUUGCCUGCUCUUUUUCUGCAUCACAUAUAAAAGUUUGUUUAAUGUGUUGAUAAAACAUGAUGGAGCUUUAUUGUGUGCAAAGUUGCGUCAGGAGAGAAUCUAAUUGAAAAAUGGAGGUAGUUGCUUGGGACUUCUUUAAUGAAUGGUUUGCCUAUCUAAUGGUUAUCUUUAACGAAUGCUAUAGAAGUGGUUUAUGAGCAUGUGUGCCUUUUCUGAAUUAACAAUUUUUGUUCAGCAUGAUGGUGGUUUAUUUUGUGAAACUUCUCCUAUGCAUUAGUUAUGCAAUUUUAAGUUUAUAAUAAAAAAAAAUCGUCAAAAAAAUUUCUACUUUUUUCAGACUAUUAUUAUCUGGUUUGUUUUUCUUAUUACUAGGUUGUUGAGAGUGGGGGGAAGAACAUAGAAAUUGCUGUGAUGACAAAAGAGCAUGGGCUGCGACAGCUUGAAGAAGCAGAGAUUGAUGCAAUUGUUGCUGAGAUCGAAGCAGAGAAAGCAGCAGCUGAGACCGCAAAGAAGGCUCC